UAAAUACUCCCUCCGUUCCAAAUUACUUGCCGUAGGUAUGGAUAUAUCUAGAUAUAUUUUAGUUCUAGAUACAUCCAUUUCUGCGAUGAGUAAUUUGGAACAGAGGAAGUAAAAA
rfam:Triticum aestivum genome assembly, contig: Triticum_aestivum_CS42_TGACv1_scaffold_486244_6AS